rnacentral:rRNA from 1 species
UAAUACGUAGGCAGCGAGCGUUGUUCGGAAUUACUGGGCGUAAAGCGUGCGUAGGCGGUGCCUCAAGUUUGGUGUGAAAUCUCCCGGCUCAACCGGGAGGGUGCGCCGAAAACUGAGGUGCUCGAGUGUGGGAGAGGUAAGCGGAAUUCCUGGUGUAGCGGUGAAAUGCGUAGAUAUCAGGAGGAACACCGGCGGUGUAGACGGCUUACUGGACCAUAACUGACGCUGAGGCACGAAAGUGUGGGGAGCAAACAGGAUUAGAUACCCUGGUAGUCCACACCCUAAACGAUGCAUACUUGGUGUGAGCCAUUCAUUUGGUUCGUGCCGGAGCUAACGCGUUAAGUAUGCCGCCUGGGGAGUACGGUCGCAAGGCUG